CUCCAGCUGGGAGGCCCUGGGUUGAUUUAGAGGCCCUGGGACUCCUAGCCACAGCCGGUGCCCCAGAGCCUUUAAAUCUUGAGAGGCACUGACUCUUCCGGUUGAGACCAUGCCUCUCUCAGGACUCUGGCAAUAUCAGUAAGUCCUGUAAGUUACUUUCAC